GUAGAGUGCGCCCUCUAAAGGAUGGAGGACUUGGAGCUCACAGUUGGCAGAGAGUGACAAAUCAAUGAUGCUAAACUUAGUCUCACUGGGAAAAACUGCCCAGAACUACGACUUCAGUUCUGUCGCCAGGAGUCACAGAAGGAGCUAAAUGUCUCUCGGAACUGGGGAGAUUUUAUUUUGGCCACGUCUCAAAGGAGAAAGUUCACUCUUGACUUUCAUUGCAGCUUUUUGAAGAGAUCUCUGCUCAUACAGUCGGCCCUGGAGGGCUACAAUGUUUUGCCUACGGUCAGACAGGAAGUGGGAACUUGCACCACCAACCCCACUGCCCAGGGCUUCUCCCAGCUGGACUCUGUAGAGGAUCAGACUGCAGAGGAGUCAUCAGUUCAGCUUCACGGCCAGUUCAGUUGAGAUUUGCAAGAAAACUCUGCAGGAUCUGCUCCCCACCUGCGAGCCCAGCAAAAGGUCUGAGCAUGACAUCAGAAGAGCUCAACCAAUGAGGUGACGUCACCAGGUUUACAGAGGACCAGGUUUUCAGUCUCACUCUGGCCAAACGGAAUCAAACCAACGGCCCAGAACGACCGCUUGUCCCGCUCCAACUCAGUCCAGCUGCAGAUCAAGGGAGUGAACACUGGGAGGGGCGUUGGAUGUCCACUCUGUACCUGGUGGACCAGCAGGCAGUGAGGAUGCUGAAGAGUCAGUCUCAGGGGGAGAUCUUUAACGAGAUGGUGUCCAUCAACAGCUUCCUGUCCAACCUCAGCUUCUCUGCUCUGACCAAAGCGAGCUCAGAUGUUCUGCAGCUUUUAGACACCUGGAGUAUCUGACGUUCUUGUGUUCACGUUCUCCCAACACUAACUUUGUUCCAGGGGAGCCACAUUCCUUACAGAAACUCCUAUCUUCUGCAGGAAUAUUUUUGAGGAAAUGGCAGUUAUUUCAAACUCAAGUUUUCAAAUGACUUAACUUGAAUCUGUUUAAAUAAAGGAA